UCUGCCUUGUGGUUCAGGACAACAUUGGGAAACCGAUGCUAAUACUGGAUAAGCCCUUACGGGGAAAGUUUUAAUGCCAUAAGAUGAGCCCGCAUUUGAUUAGUUAGUCGGUGAGGUAAUGGCUCACCAAGACAAUGAUCAAUAGCUGAUCUGAGAGGAUGAUCAGCCACACUGGGACUGAGACACGGCCCAGACUCCUACGGGAGGCAGCAGUGGGGAAUCUUGCACAAUGGAGGAAACUCUGAUGCAGCGAUGCCGCGUGAGUGAAGAAGGCCUUUGGGUUGUAAAGCUCUUUUGUAGGGGAAGAUAAUGACUGUACCCUAAGAAUAAGGUCCGGCUAACUUCGUGCCAGCAGCCGCGGUAAUACGAAGGGACCUAGCGUAGUUCGGAAUUACUGGGCGUAAAGCGCGCGUAGGCCGUUGAGUUAGUUAAUUGUGAAAUCCCAAAGCUUAACUUUGGAACUGCAAUUAAAACUGCUCGACUAGAGUUUGAUAGAGGAAAGCGGAAUACAUAGUGUAGAGGUGAAAUUCGUAGAUAUUAUGUAGAACACCAGUUGCGAAGGCGGCUUUCUGGAUCAACACUGACGCUGAGGCGCGAAAGUAUGGGUAGCAAAGAGGAUUAGAUACCCUCGUAGUCCAUACCAUAAACGAUGAUUGCUAGAUGUUGGAAAUUUAUUUUCAGUAUCGCAGCUAACGCAUUAAGCAAUCCGCCUGGGGAGUACGACCGCAAGG
rnacentral:rRNA from 1 species